CAAGACCAGCAGACCUAAACUCUCACAACCAGAACUAAGAAAACCAUACCCAAAUAUUCCUCCAUCCACCACCUCGCGACAGACAAAGGACUCAUCAAACAGCCACAUCUUCAGCCGCUGCCUUAGCCUUCGGAGGCCGGCCCCUCCCCUUCUUCGCCCCAGAGGAGGCCGGAGUGCCCACCGCCUUAGCGGAGGCAGGCGCAUCAGCAGCCCCAUCGGUCUUCGCCGCCUUCGGGGGACGGCCGCGGCCCCUCCCGCUCGAAGCCUUGGGAGUCGCACUCGCCCCCUUCUCAGCUGACUCCUUAGGGGGACGACCGCGUCCCCGCUUCGCAGACGGGGUUUCGUCCCCGGAACCGGCGGCCGGAGAAGAAGCAGCGGCGGCGAGCGGGGUCUUCGCCUUGGGGGGGCGGCCUCGGCUGCGCUUCCCCGGCGUCUCAGUCGCCGGCGCCUCGGUCUCGUUCACCUCGGCAGCGGGCGGGAUCUUGACUGCUUCGUUGGCCAUGGCGGCGGCGAGAUGAGAUGGGAAAAUUAGGGGAAGAAGGAUUGGGG
rnacentral:misc_RNA from 1 species